AACGUUCUGAAUCCGUGCUGAGAUUUCGUCAGACACCAACCUAUUAAGGCUGAUCAGACUCCCAAGAUAAGUGAAGUU
rfam:Schistosoma rodhaini strain Burundi genome assembly, scaffold: SROB_scaffold0010696